ensembl:lncRNA
CUGGGAUCCCUCGCUCUGGCUGCGCUCAGUGAGGAUUGAGCAGCCCUGUGGAGAGGCAGACCGGUGUCUACAGCAUCCUUCACUCUCCCCCCACCAGCUCCUAUUGGUCCUUCAGAUUGUCUCACUUCAUGUGCCACUGCUUCCAGGAAGCUUUCCUGAAUGCUCCCAACUGGAGUCAGCCUCCCUGACAGAUGGAGAAUUCCUCAAGAGCAGGACCGUGUCUGUGUUCCCAGCACCUCCCCAUGCCUGGCACUUCGAGGAUGCUCCGUUACUAUUUGUUGAGAGAAUGGAUAAUUGAAUAAAGAAUGCUACCACCUAAGCUGCAGAGCCGUUUGCUGGAAGAAGUGAGGCCAGGAACUGGAAAGCCAGAGAGUUUGGGACACCUGUGCCAGGUGUCUGUCACCGUGCAGCGAGCGUGUCUGAGCACCUGGCAGCUUCCCUCCUUCCCCAGCCGGUCACUCACGGCCCACCUGCAGGACGGGUCCAGGAGCAGGCGGAGCCUCCUGGUGGCCCCACUUUUGCCUCCUCCCCUGCAGUAGAUGCUUCGUUACCAGAAGGCGAAGGUCAGAGUCUGGCCACGGGCCCAGCAUUUCUGGCCCAGUUUUGCCGCAGGAAGCCAACUGUGCAGAAGGUCAGGAUGCUGGUGGGGUCAGAGUGGGAAAGUUAACAUUCCCAAGGGCCUCUAUGCAACAGGACUUCCUGACGUGGACUAUUGCCUUUCUCACAUUACGUGGCCAGAUUGACUUCCUGCCAUUAUUAACUGUGCAAACAUGACAAAGACGUUUAUUUAAUGGGAACGGGCGAAGGACUUUGCUCGACUCUGAGCUUUGAGGAGGCGGUAGGAUCAUGGAAUUAACCACAGCUGAGAGCUGGGAUUCCAGUCCGGGCUCUACCUGCCUUUGCCAUCUGCUAGAACAUGUAACUUCAUGUCUCAACCUCAGUUUCCUUUUCUGUAACAAGUGGGGAAGAAGGGUGGUAAGAAAUGUUGAGUCAGAACUCAGAGUUGCUGGGUGGGUGAAGUGAGGUCAUUAAUGUGGGAAACGUUUUGCGAACUGGAAAGUGCCAUCUGAGUUUUCAUCAUCAGUUUUGAUCUCCUCCUCCAACAAUCUAGCAUCUCAGCCCGCUUUUCCCAGCUGAGAAGGCCUCUGUGGCUCCAGGAGAAGGUGCCCUCUCCCCAGCUGAGGCUGGCUGCUGGCAGGCAGGCCACCAGCCUUCUGCAGUCACCUCCCGCCAGCUCUGGGCCAAAGGGGCCCUGCCCCUCGGGUUCCCUCUGCGAUUUGCUUCUCUGCUGUUUCCGCUCAAGUUCCUCCUCUGCUCUCUGUCCGUGAAAACGCUCUCCCCCCUCACAAUGCCUUCUCUGAUCUGGUUUCUACAUGGCCGAGCGGGACGUUCACUGCAUCUUACAACCCACUGUUCUCCACGUGUGCUCGCGGGCCCAGCGGCAGCAGCAGCAGCCCCCUGGGAAUGUGUGGGAAAUGCACAGUCUUGGGUCCCACCCAGACCAAUGAAGCAGAAAUGAUGAGGGUGGGGCCAGCAGUCUGUGUUUUCACAGGCCCUCAGGGAUUCUGAUGUACACUCAAGGUCCAGGACCAGUAGGCUAACCUGUCUCCCCAACUGGGUGUGAGCUCCCUGCUGGCCGGGGCUGCCUCCCACUGUGGCUCCCAGAGCCUGGCACGCAGAGACCACGAGUGACCAUGAAACUGCCUCACAGACGUGCGCUGGCCUUCCUGCCGCCACACCUGGGCUCACAACAUGCCCUCAGCCCCUUCCUUCCCGCGGCCCUCCCCACAUGCUCACAAAACCUCAAGGCCAGCCGUCUCCCCUGAGUCCUGCAGCGGCCUGUUCUGCCUCAGUCUCCCUCCAUAGCCGCUGCCUGAACCUGCCAGACACCACUCUGGGCUCACCGCCUGGUCACCCCUUGGUGGGGUUGCCCUUAAACAAAAGGUCCUUUCUGCACGCAUCUUUCAUGUGACAUUUUGCACCGACUUGGUUUGUGUUUGAAGGAGCGCUGGUGCAGUAGGGGAUCAUCCUUGCAGCCACAGGGUGGAAGUCACCUGGCAGCUUCACCAGGGAAGUCAAGGUGUGUGUGUCAGUCGGCCUUUGCACCAACAUUCAUAGCAGAAGCAGUUCACACCACGUCCCCCCCUGACCUGAAGGAGAGAGAAAGGGAAGAGGCACUUGAGGUGCUCAGCGAGCUGCAAAGUUCCGUCCUCCAGCUGCUCCAAGCCCUGCGUGGGCCAUGGGGUCUGCACGGUGGGCGGGCAGGCCAUGCAGGUCUCUGCCUGACCCACACCGUGUCAGGGUUUGUUUUUACUUUCCCUGCUCUUGCUGCCACAGCCUAUGUGUCCCCAGAUUCUUCUUUUAGGCCCUGGAUGGGAGCCAGCCUCCUGCAGCUAGGCUGCCCGGGUUCGAACGCUGGCUCUGCUGCCUAGGGUAAGUUACUUGACCAUUCUGUGCCUCAGUUUCCUCAUCUGUAAAGCAGGCCUGGGUGGUAACACUUAGGUCUUAAGUUUCUUGUGCAGACAAAAUCAGAGAGGACUUGCAAAGCCUACAGAGUAGAGCUCCCACACAGGAGCCCUCCAAGCUCUUGGUCCUGAAGUGGAUACCCCUGGCCCAUGAGCCCAGUAAGGGAAGGCAAGAGCUGGUGAGUGGCAGGCUGGGUCAACCCGGGGCCUGGCUCCCUCCCCAGCCACCACCUGCCUCCAAAUCCAGCAUCAUAUAUGACUCUAAAUUAGUUUUGGGACCAGAAUUUGUAAUCUUUCUGGUUUCAAGCAUGAGGACCCUUAUUUAGUGCUAAGUAAAAUAUCUGCUUUUUGCUCUCUCAGCAUCCAUUGUCCAAGAGAAAAUAACCUAGUAGCCUUUUAGAAUUUGUAUUCCACUGACUACAACAACAUCUGUAUACAUCUGAAAACUAUUCAGACAAGUAUGUGUAAGACAAAUCUCUUCAGCCUGCAGACAGUGUGCUCGGGGCCUUGAUGGAUUCUCUGGCAGACCCCCCCAGCAGGGUGCCUCCAGGCUGGGGACCAGUGUGGUCUUCAGGAAACAAAGGCUUAAUGUAAACUGGGCUCUCCUCAGGCAGGAGUUCCCUCAACAUUCCUUGCCAGGUGUGUAGUAUGAUAAGCCCAUUUCACAGAUAAGAGCACAGAGGCACCAAGAGCUGUAUUAACUACCCAAGACGAAGCUAGUGAUUAGUAGAGCAUGAGUGAGGUCUGGGUGACCCCAAAGCCCAAGUUUUACCCCCUACCCUACCCUUCAACAUGGCAGCUACUCUCUAUUAAUCUUAUCUCCACAGCUGAGUCUGGGAACUCCUGAACAGCACAGAAGUAUCAACUAUCAGCCAGGAGCCAAUAUUCCCAGAGCAGACAGCAUAUCAGGUGCUGGUGCCUCUGUGACCUCGUUUAAUCCAGCAGGAAUCCAAUCAAUUUCCCUAUACUACAGAGGAGCAAAUCAAUUCUCAGAGAGGCUGAGUAACCUGCCCAACGUCACCCAGUUAAGAAGUGGCAGGGCUGGGGCCAGAAUCCAGGUCUGUCUGUCCCUGGGUCCCUGUUGGCCCCUUCGCAGCGUGUGAGCUUCCCAGGGCCUCAGGUAGGGAGGGGGUAGAUAGCUACCUUGAGCCAUAAAAUUCCCCUCACAACACGAUAGGUGUUAGCAAAUUUUUAAAAAUUCUUUGCCCCAGAUCAGGUCCUACAUUGGGAUGAAUCAUCUGACUCCAUAUAAAGUAACCUCAGGAUCGCUGGAUUGAUGGGGAGUGUGGGCAGAAGAGGGUUUUUUGUUGUUUUGAUCUCAACUGAAAAGCAAUUUUUAAUGUGCCAAAUGUUGCACACUCAAUCCAAUACACAGAUUUAUUACGCAGGAGGCCAAAGUGUGCUAAUCAGGAGUCAUCAUCUUGCAACAAGAAUAAAUAAGAACAAAGCCAGCAAGCGUUCCUCCCGGGAGCUAAGAAUGUCAUUGUCUAAUGUCUUGUCUUAGCCGCCUCAGCCCACAAACGGCUCCUCCUGUCUUUAGGGGACAACAAUCGCUGCGGAAUUCUGCUGAGCACAGACGGGCCGAGACACAGAGAGUGGGGUUUGUUGCUUGAAAGCAUUUUGCUUUCUGUAACCACUGUUCCCAAGAAAGAGCUGGGACUGUCUUGCCUGCCCUGUCUCUCAUUCCAGACACCUCUGGAGCAACUCAGAUCCUGAAGCCUUGGCUUGAGGGCAAGUAGAGGCAGAACGUAGGGAAGAGAGCUCCGUGCCAGGCAGAAAUCCCCCACCCUUCCUGUUUCCCGACUCUGAGCAAGCCACUCAACCACGCUCAGCCUCGGCUUCCUCUGCUGGAAAAUGGGGAGAGGAAGGGUUCAUUCAGGCGGCUGGGGGUCCAAGAUUCCUAGCCUGGUGCCUGGUGCCUGGCACAGGGUAGUGCCUGUUAUUAAGAAACUGCUGGGCUAAACCAUGGCCAGGGAGAAAGCUUGGUGGAGGUAACCGGGCACCCUCAGAUGGUAGCUCAGAAAUUGUGUUCCUCACUGAGCAGCUUUGAUCAAACCACUUCCCUUCUCAAAAGUGUUCGGUGGCUUCCUGCUCCCCUGAAUGCAAUAUGGGUCCUUUAACCUGACCACCAAGACCCUCAUUCCCCAAAAUGCCUUUUCAGCCAACUUUUCUACACUCCAAAAUGCCACUUAAUAAAUAUUUAAAGAAAGAGUGAAUACAAUGCAUCUAGCAUUGUGUGUCUAAAAAUCUCGGCCCUGGUCCCAAGAGGCGCAUAAGCUAAUUGGGAGCAAGGCCCAAGAUACCAGAAGAAAAGGGAAAUAGCCAUUUAUUUUACAUUUUAAUCAAGGGACCAACUCAGAUCCCAAAUCCUAGUCCUCAUUCUGCCCCAGAUGUCCUGAGGGCCUGCUCUGAUGUGACAUUCGGAGGAUGCCACUUAGGUUAGGGAACAAGGGGGCGCUACAAGUCAUGAACCAUAACACCCAGGCCAGGAGGGCGCUGACAGUCUAAGGGGGAAGCUGCCACCCCAGGAUACCGUAGGUGCUUCUGUUGUCUCACUCUGCACCCCACACUGUGCCACCAAGCAGGGAGAAGGUCAAUAUGAUGCGUUUUGUAGUUUUCUAUGGAGACAACAGCUGACUGCCAACCAGAAUGAUGACAUAAGGAAUCAGCCUUCACUGGUGAAAGGAAAGGUGUUCAAGACUUGCAGACAAUGCAGCAAAUUGGCUGCAUUACUUAGAAACACUCCCCAGGCUGCAUGAACACAGUGUAAGGGCCCAGUGAGGCCUGGAGGCCAGGCCUGCGGUGUUGCUGCCGAGGCUUGAUCCACCCCCCGACCCCCUAGUCUUCCAUGCAGUUGUCCACCUGUGGGGAGGACUUCAGUUGCCUGAUUACAAGGACUUUGAGGACGACGGGAUCCUGCCCAGGAGUACUGUGACCACUGCAGGAGCUCCUCAAAGGGCAGGGAGCCGAGACGCCCUGGUGAUACGCAAGAGUUUGUGCAGACACGGGGGCACCUGGAGAAUGGCAGCUUGGAUUUACAUGUCUCUCUGGGGCAGAAUUUGCAUGGAGACUUGCUUGCAUCAUAACCUGGUCGUGGGGUUGUGGGGAAGGAGUUAACCAGCCCUGACCCCAAACUUCUGCAGGGACUACUCUCAUCCACCCAAACCCGGGAGCCGUGCGUGGCCGCAUGGUCUUCGGUCAGUCCACUCCCUCAGGGCCCUCUGGUCACACUCCUCUGCAGGGCCUUUACUGUGGGCCGCUCUGUCCAGACCCCGCGCUUUCUCCAUGGAAGUGGCAGAUGUGGAUACCUCCAUGGUAUUUGGACACAAGAAAGGCCGCAUUCAUUUAUCCAACUGCAAUUAAAUCUGUUUCAAGACACCCUACUCACAAAACUGGGCAGAAAUUGCAAUAUCAUUCCAAGUCAUCUGUUGGUCCCUCCCUGAGCCCUACUGGCAUAUUAGGGGGCUUUGGAGGUGCUCCCAGGAAGCCACAGUCAGUGGUGCUUUUUUCUGCAUGGUGGGCAGUGGUGCCCACCCCGGGCAGCUGUGGCAGGCAUGCCGGGGAGGUCAACCAGCCCAGCUUGCUGCCCAGCUCAGCACUGCCCCUCCUCCUAUGGAGGGCGUCUCCUGCUGGUGGCCACACUUCUUCCGAGCAGUCAGCCAGAGGGACCUCAGGCUGGGGGGCCUCCAUGCUUGUGCCCAGAAGUCCCAGGCCCCAGGCAGCCAUCUCCACAAGUAGGGCCACCUGAGUGUUUCUGCAUUUGCCAGACCUAUGGAGUCCUAGGGCUCACUCUGUUUUUGUCCUCAUCAGCCACCUGCAACAGGGCCACAACCCUCUUUCUCACUUGACAUACCAAAGCGUCCACUCCUUCUCUCUUUGGGACUCUAUAGUUGAAUUCUCCUUGUUGGAUCCCAAACUCCAGAAGCCCUUCAACCUGUAGGGUGACAGAGGCCAGAGGCUGGGGCUCAGGCGCUUGGCUGCCCCAGAGAGCAACUCAUUAACAGUAAAAAGGUUAACACGGCAGUACGCUUCUCAGAAAAUCACCCAUGACAUAGCAAUCCUUAUCUAAGCUCACAGCAAAGCCCUGAGAUGAUGUUACCUUCAUCACUCCCAUCUAACAGAUGGGAAAACGGACUUAGAAGGAUUAAUUAACUGUCACGUGGCUAGUGAGUGGGCGAGCAUCGAUUUUGGUUCCAGGUUCAAAGCACAUGCUCUUGACCCCCUAAUCUGUGGUACUUCUUAAAGUAAGGCCUGACUACUUCUGGGCCUUAGUUUCCCUACCUGCAAGGCAGCACCUACUUCCCGGCAGGCUGAACUCAGUGAAGCCCUAGGCCUGAGGGUCAGCAUCUCCCGGGGGCUGGUCUGUAGGCAAAGUCCGCCCCACAGGCGUUUGACACAUUUAUGCUUAGCCUCAGGCCCUAUGGUGUAUGAGGAAGUAACCUUGAUCUGGGGGCACCUAUCUUGGGGCUCCACAGUCGUAAAUGAGCCGACAGCUUCCCAGCUCCCAGUCUCAAAAGUGCCAACCGGAAUAACUCCACCUCUGAGAUAUCAAAGCCGGCAGAUGACCCCAGGAAACGGCUGUGGACAGCAGGACAGCAAAAGAGCUCCUCCCUGGCUGGCGGGUGCAUUCCCCAGGUCCCUCUUGCCUGUGAGUGCACCGUUUAACAGCCAUAAGUCAUUUUUAGUAGCUUCUGCCUCCCCAGCAGCGAGGGAUCUUCCGAGAGAAGAUGCCCCACCUGGUCUGUGUUCUGAGAGGAAAAGGCGAGCAGGGAAGCCUCCUGCUGCCCCCGACACGGCUGACUUUGUUUCACUUAACUCCGGCCCAUUUUUUCUGCUGUCCCACCUGAAGAGCAUUUAAUCUCAGAGUUAGAACCACCAAAAGCAAUUUUCUUUCCUCCUUUGACUGCUAGGCUGGGCAACACAUCACAUCACCCUACAAGUACAUUUGGCCCCAGGGCCACAGGUAUAAAAGGCAUUCAGUGGGCGGCAUGAGUCAAUUUCCGUCCAGCCUUAGGACAGUGAGGUAACCGCCGCUUGUCAGUUUCCCCAUCCCCAUCCCCGUGGCAGCUUGGCUCUCCCACAGCAGACAUCUGGAGCCAGGGAUUGACAAGUGGAUUCCAGAGCCAGGCCCUGCCUCCUGCCUGCUCCAACGCAGCGCGGGACCUCAGCCGCCAACAAGGACACGCAGUGUCUCUCUGCACGUACACACGUACGUACACACCCUCCUCAUCUCCCUGCCCCAGCUCAUGCCUGCAUUUCCCGUGCUGUGAAUUCUGACAGCUAGGGAGGGUGUUGCCCUCACUGUACGUUCCUCACUACACCACGCUGCCUGAAGCACCUGGCUGUUCCAGAGCCUUCCUGCAGAGCUCCCCACCCCCACCUCCCAUGCUGAAGGGGCAAGAAACCUCGUGGUUGUCAUGGCUGUGUCUCUGUCCAAGGGAGGGCUGGCGAAAUGGCACCCUCUCCACACCCUCUUGCCUAAUUUACUGGACUUUUAAACACAUUUAUUUACUGUGGUAUGUACACCACACCAAACAUCUGGAGGGAAACUGGGGGAAAAUCCACCAAGAAUUUAAAUGUUUAUCCCGCACUGUAACUUUGAAAACCAAAUCAGGGAAACAUCACAUCUUCAGCCAAUUGCUUGGUGGUGUACAGACCUAAGACAGCAUAUAAUCCCAUAAAGGCUGUCUCUCUCUGCCCUCUCUCUAACCAUGCAGCUCGUUCACCAAGCCACUCACAAGCAUCUCUUUCUUCUUUCUCAGGGAUGUCCAGAGCCAAUUCGAGCCAAUAUCUCGGUUGCUCGAUCAGCCCCACUAUAGCUGCCACCUAACUUGAGAAUCAAGGCAUCGCAGAGCCAGCAGGACCUUGGGGAUCAGCAGGUCUUCUCUGGGCCUGAAGUUUACCCUCUACAUUUAUCUUCUGCUUUAUAACCCAUUAAGUCACUUCCUUGGCCCUCUCCAGAUCUCCUCACAUGUGAUCACAAUCAUAUGCAUGCCGCACGUCUGUGACUCCCCUAAAGCUUUCAAGAUGAUGUCAUCUAUAAACAGAAAGACCCGCCUGUACCAUCAUUAGUCAGCUGUCACUCUGCUGACCAGGUGCAGCUCCCUCUGUCUACUGGAGGGAGAGCCAAUCAAAAUUAAUAGAAAACUGGAAGAUCGGACCAUUCUAAAGAGGAAAACUUAACAAUAUUUGAAGGAACCAGCUACUUGUAUUAAACACUUAAAAGGCAUAAUUCCCAAGGAGUGAGGUCUCCUUUCUUCCUUUCACAAGUUUUUUAUUUAAGUUCUUUUUUGAGGAAGAUUAGCCCUGCGCUAACUGCUGCCAAUCCUCCUUUUUUUGCUGAGGAAGGCUGGCCCUGAGCUAACAUCCGUGCCCAUCUUCCUCUGCUUUAUAUGUGGGAUGCCUACCACAGCAUGGCUUGCCAAGCGGUGCCAUGUCCGCACCUGAGAUCCAAACCAGCGAACCCCAGGCCACCGAAGCGGAACGUGCGCACUUAACUACUGCGCCACCGGGCUGGCCCCUUAUUUAAGUUCUUCAGGCACUCCAGGGAGGGUCUGAAACAUAGUAUAACACCUACCCUCUUCUUAAGGAGCUUAGGGUCAAGUGGGGUCGCCCCCAUUUAACAAAUAAUCACACCCAUGUGUGAAAAGCCCAGAGGAGGUGAAGCUGCAAGGAGGCCAGGAGGAGCCAGUUCAGACUCGAGACAACAGGACUAG